CCCUUAGAUGUUCUGGGCCGCACGCGCGCUACACUGAAGGGAUCAGCGUGUUUUCCCUUUCCGAGAGGAACGGGUAACCCGCUGAACCCCCUUCGUGGUAGGGAUCGGAGCUUGCAAUUGUUCUCCGUGAACCAGGAAUUCCCAGUAAGCGCAAGUCAUAAGCUUGCGUUGAUUACGUCCCUGCCCUUUGUACACACCGCCCGUCGCUACUACCGAUUGAACGUUUUAGUGAGGUAUUUGGACUGGGCCUUGGGAGGUUUCGGCCUCCCUUGUUGCCCGGAAAGACUCCCAAACUUGAGCGUUUAGAGGAAGUAAAAGUCGUAACA
rnacentral:rRNA from 1 species